UCGAACCUGCCCAGCAGAACGACCCGUGAACAUGUUCAUAAAACGAGCGGUCCAAAGCCGGCAAUUGCUAGCAUUGGCCAUUCAUAAGGCCUGGAUCAAGGUAAUUUGGUGUGAAGGCAACGCUUUCCCCCAACGUGCCUUAGUUUAGGCCUACUAACAAACCCCCGGCGCGGAAAGCGCCAAGGAAUUGCAAACAAAAAGAUCGGUCGCCCCGAUUGCCCCGGAAACGGUGUGCAAAAGGGAUGUGCCGUGAUUUGAGAAUCUAAACGACUCUCGGCAACGGAUAUCUCGGCUCUCGCAUCGAUGAAGAACGCAGCGAAAUGCGAUACUUGGUGUGAAUUGCAGGAUCCCGCGAACCAUCGAGUUUUUGAACGCAAGUUGCGCCCGAAGCCUUUUGGCCGAGGGCACGUCUGCCUGGGUGUCACUCAACGUCGCCCCAACCCCCUUCCUUUUGGAAUGGGGGGCGGAAUAUGGCCUCCCGUGUGCUAAUGCUUGCGGUUGGCCCAAAUGUCCGGUCCUCGGCAUAGAUGCCACAGCAAUCGGUGGUUGUACGACCCUCGCUACAUGCUGUGAGCGUUCUAGUGCUGACGUGGCCUACGAGUCCCCAAAGCGUAUCGGAAGAUGCGCUCGAAAUGCGACC
rnacentral:rRNA from 1 species